UACGUAGGUGGCAAGCGUUGUCCGGAAUUAUUGGGCGUAAAGCGCGCGCAGGUGGUUUCUUAAGUCUGAUGUGAAAGCCCACGGCUCAACCGUGGAGGGUCAUUGGAAACUGGGGAACUUGAGUGCAGGAGAGAAGAGUGGAAUUCCACGUGUAGCGGUGAAAUGCGUAGAGAUGUGGAGGAACACCAGUGGCGAAGGCGACUCUUUGGCCUGUAACUAACACUGAGGCGCGAAAGCGUGGGGAGCAAACAGG
rnacentral:rRNA from 1 species